AAACGCAUGUGCCGGUGCCAAUCUUUCUCGUGUUGCUUGCUGUUGUCGAGAGAGUCCGUCCCUCCAGGGGGAUGAGACUGACAACAACAGGCAGCACGAGGUUGAGCGGCUGAGAUUAUACGGCCUUGGGAACUUGAUCUGGAUAAUACCAGCGAAAGGAACAUGCUCUGCUCCCCC
rnacentral:ncRNA from 1 species